UCAGUUCCCGGGAGCAGGUUGGUGGCAUUAACCUGCUGCUUUACUUGAAAUAAUUAGCCUUGCUCACAGAUGACCUUCACAGCAAGCCCUAAAGGCUGACAGAUUUGGGUUAUAUUGGAGCAACAGAGAGAAGCACGCUUCAGAGUGCUCCUCCUGGAGAAAUCCCUGCUGCUCGCUCCACCGCCAGCCCCCAGGAACUGGAACUGGGCAUUCUGGUGCCCACAUCUCCAAAACAAAGGGGGUUUCUCACUCCUGCAGGCCACGGUGGACGGAUGCAGCCACUGGGCUCCACCACCUCCCUGGACAUCCUUGGUACCCUCCUGCUAUUCUUAACUGAUACCAUCUGCUUCCCAUUUUCCUUUCCCAGAAAGCCCCCGUUGCUGUUAAAGCAACGUGCCAGGACUCUGCGUUUGGCUUCUGGUCCAGUUCCUACUAACCUGGUAAUACGUGACAUACCACCUCGCACAGGAGAGUUUGCAGGUGACACUUACACCUCUGCCACCAGGACGGCACUGGCAGCGAGGUGAUCCCUGUACCGCAGGGAUAUGUGCCAGCCCAGCCAGAGGCAGCGAAGGGACCCACGAUGAGUGCUCCCUCCUCCAGCACCCUGCUCGCAGCAGCCUUCAAACAGCACCAGGGCACCUCGGUCCCGGCACUGCAGGGGCCACGUCAAGUCCUGUCAUUUCAUGGCAAAUUCCACGAAAUGCUCCUGGCUUUGGGCCUUGCCUGGGAAUUAAACCCAAGUGCUCCUGCUCUGUAAUGGAAUCACACCUGCAGAUCAAACAGCUGCUUCCAAAGAAAGAUAAUGAGCCUUAAGUUUGAAGGAGUCCAUGGAGCAAAGGGCAACAGCGGUGCUGCAGCAGCAAAGCUGCUUUCCCUCCAUCCCAGCGCCUGAUGGGUCUCUGCGUGUCUCUGCAGCCCACGAGUCACUGCCACCAGCACCAUGCGGCCACCAGGUCCUUUGCUGCGAUCAAACCUUGCCGGCUGAACGCUCCCCCACUCCUUCAUCACAUCGGCACAUUAGAACAGGGAAACAUUGGAAAUGCAGCAACCAUGAACAUUUUGGGAAACAAAAAGGACAACGUUCAGUAAGGAUGGACUUCUGGGUACAGGCUGCUCCUACCCCCCGUGUGCUGCAGGUGGGCAUCCUCCUCGGAUAUGCUCUCAGCAUCCCCCAAGAUGCGCCACCAGCUUCACACUAGAAGAGUUCCUGAGCCCCGUCUUGACAUUAGCUUUCACAGCCACAGCUUCACACCCUUCUGGCCAGCCUUCACCACUUCAGCGCUAAGCUGGUGGCUGUUUUCAAAAGCUCCUAGAUCUCUGUCCACAUUAGGCUCCUGGCUUUCAUUUAAAGAAGAUGCCCGUGAGAUUGCUUGAAAGAUUGGAAAUAAAUGUCACAAGUUUUGAAAGCAAAGAAAAAAGAGCUGCAGUUUCCCCAUCUCUCCAAAACGGAGAAUCUCCUGCUUGAACUUGUGGCUGGGGCUCACAGCGCUCAGCUCCCUCUGUCCUGAGCACCGAGGCGUGCCGGUUCGGAGGCUGCUCAUGCAUGAAAACCAAAGCUGUUGCCUGCCUUAGCAAAGCUGUCAGGGAUAUUUUAUCGUAUUCCACCCCAUCAAGUAACCAUCACAACAGGUAUUCUCAUCCUCACCUUGGUGGAACACUGGUGGGGGAUCACUUUCCCCUGAAAGAGACAACACUGUUUGUUGCUCAUGCAUUAUUUGAGUGGUAUUAAUAAAGGAUGUGUCACCAAAAUCGCCUGUAAGCCCUACUCGGUACCAUGAUUUUAUCCUCCCUUACCACAGCCCAAGCUCAGGAGCACAGAGACUUUGUGUUAUGUUACGUUCUGGAUCAAAAGUGGUUUCUGAGGCUAUUGGUGGCUGAGGCUGUGUGUAGCUGAAGCUUGUUCCAAUGAGUCACUGCUGAGCUUCGUUCUUAUCUUUGAAGCUUGUUAUUACUUGGAAGUGUUUAUCUGAAUUACGUUUGUAAAAGCAUCUGAACAAAGGCCAGCUUAGGGAAACCACAGCAUUUUUGCACAUUUUUAUAUAAAUAGGAAGGAUUUUUUGCAGCUGGUUCUUUUCUUUGUAAUUCACAAUAUUUGUCUUUCAUGGCAAUUUUAAGGAUCACGAUGGAUUUAAGCAAUCAAACGCAGACCUGACAUCCUGGGAGAGAUAAAAGCACAGCUUCACUACAGGCUGAGAAUUCAACUACUGACACCCAUCGUGCCAGGCACAGCCACAACCACUCAGGGACCGAGCCCUCGUAUUGGGAUUUCUGCAACGGAGUGACCUGGAGCAGGUCAAAGCUUAUGUGUUUCAAGCAGCAGUAGUGAAAUCCCACUCCCAACCUGAGGGUAAGAAGCUAAGAAUAAAAGGAAAGGGGAGAAAGGGCAGGGGCAAGCGGGUGGGACAUCAGGGCUGGGCUUUGUGUGAUCCCCAUGAUCACCCAGCAGGGACAGGCAGCUCUUUGUCACACCAGGACAUCACAGCAACCCCAGGCCCCGCAGGGCAAGCAGAGAGGCCUUGGCCUCCUUCCUCUCAAAACCUGGCAAGGUCAUCACCCCGGGCUGGAUGGGAAGGGGAAUGGCCACAGUCCCUACGUCCAGACUCGAUUUCUGGAUCUGUGUCCCCCAGGGGCAGCAGCUGCAGCCACCUCUCUGCUCCUUGUAGUGAACUCAGCUGGCAAGUGAUGCUCAGUGCCCCGCCGGAGAGCAUCAAACCUCUCCCAUUUCUCCCCCAACUCCCUCCCGCACACCCAUGCAAGAGCUCCCGCCAGGUUGGAGGGAUUUGAGGUCCUGGCAGUGAGGCACAGCCAGGAGCCCCAGCAGGGCAAGGUGCCAAGGUCAGAUGCCUACACUGUGAUGGCCACAGCCAGGACACACACCGUGGCCACUCUCAGGCUGCACUGACGGGCACAAAGGUACCCCGGAGGCUUCUGUGCAACAUUCCAAAAAGAGAUGUGGCCCCACAUGGACCACAAGGACAGCCAGGGGGUGCAGAGAAGAUGCUCAGGAGUAGGAUGGGAGGAUGAAAGGGAUGCUCGAAAGGAGCAUGGAGGGAUGCAGAGGAUGCUCGGGGGCAGCACGGGGCAUGCAGGGGAUGCCAGGGGUGCUCAGGGCAGGACAGGUCUGUGAGACAGGAUGAGGGGAUGCUGGAGAACCUGGGUCAGAACGGGGUGUGCUGAGGUGAUGACAGGAGGUGAGGAGGACGGGGAGAUACUGACAGUCUGGGGCAGGUCUGUAGCAAUGUG